rnacentral:rRNA from 1 species
AGUGAACGCUGGCGGUAGGCCUAAUACAUGCAAGUCGAACGGCAGGACAGGAAGAUUGUGCCCUUACGGGUAGCGAGGGGCGGAUGGGUGAGGCAUAGAUAAGAAUCUACUUAUUCUGGGGUGAAUACGGAAAGAAACUUACGCUAAUACCGCAUACGACGUACGGGUUAAAUCAGUGGAGCUUCGCGGCUUGCCCGAUUCAAUUAGCCGACGCCGCAUUAGCUAGUUGGUGGGGUAACGUCCCACCAAGGCAACGAUGCGUAGCGGGCCUGAGAGGAUGAUCGGCCACACUGGAACUGAGACACGGUCCAGACUCCUACGGGAGGCAGCAGUAGGGAAUCUUCGACAAUGGGCGAAAGCCUGACCCAGCCAUACCGCGUGAGUGAAGAAGGCCUUCGGGUCGUAAAGCCCUUUUGUUGGGAAAGAAAAGCUGUGGAUUAAUCCCCCCCUGUUCUGACGGUACCCAAACAAAAAGCCACGGCUAACUUCGUG